AACGAACGCUGGCGGCAUGCUUAACACAUGCAAGUCGAACGAGACCUUCGGGUCUAGUGGCGCACGGGUGCGUAACGCGUGGGAAUCUGCCCUUAGGUACGGAAUAACUCAGAGAAAUUUGUGCUAAUACCGUAUGAUGUCGAAAGACCAAAGAUUUAUCGCCUAAGGAUGAGCCCGCGUAAGAUUAGCUUGUUGGAGAGGUAAAAGCUCACCAAGGCGACGAUCUUUAGCUGGUCUGAGCGGAUGAUCAGCCACACUGCGACUGAGAAACGGCCCAGACUCCUAAGGGAGGCAGCAGUGGGGAAUAUUGGACAAUGGGCGAAAGCCUGAUCCAGCAAUGCCGCGUGAGUGAUGAAGGCCUUAGGGCUGUAAAGCUCUUUUACCCGGGAUGAUAAUGACAGUACCGGGAGAAUAAGCUCCGGCUAACUCCGUGCCAGCAGCCGCCGCCG
rnacentral:rRNA from 1 species